CUCUCCGGUUAAUACCCGGAGACGAUGACAUUAGCUGCAGAAUAAGCACCGGCUAACUCUGUGCCAGCAGCCGCGGUAAUACAGAGGGUGCAAGCGUUAAUCGGAAUUACUGGGCGUAAAGCGAGCGUAGGUGGCUUGAUAAGUCAGAUGUGAAAGCCCCGGGCUUAACCUGGGAACGGCAUCUGAUACUGUUAGGCUAGAGUAGGUGAGAGGAAGGUAGAAUUCCAGGUGUAGCGGUGAAAUGCGUAGAGAUCUGGAGGAAUACCGAUGGCGAAGGCAGCCUUCUGGCAUCAUACUGACACUGAGGUUCGAAAGCGUGGGUAGCAAACAGGAUUAGAUACCCUGGUAGUCCACGCCGUAAACGAUGUC
rnacentral:rRNA from 1 species